CGGUUUAUUCGGGAAUUACUGGGGCGUAAAGCGCACGCAGGCGGUCUGUCAAGUCGGAUGUGAAAUCCCCGGGCUCAACCUGGGAACUGCAUUCGAAACUGGCAGGCUAGAGUCUUGUAGAGGGGGGUAGAAUUCCAGGUGUAGCGGUGAAAUGCGUAGAGAUCUGGAGGAAUACCGGUGGCGAAGGCGGCCCCCUGGACAAAGACUGACGCUCAGGUGCGAAAGCGUGGGGAGCAAACAGGAUUAGAUACCCUGGUAGUCCACGCCGUAAACGAUGUCGACUUGGAGGUUGUGCCCUUGAGGCGUGGCUUCCGGAGCUAACGCGUUAAGUCGACCGCCUGGGGAGUACGGCCGCAAGGUUAAAACUCAAAUGAAUUGACGGGGGCCCGCACAAGCGGUGGAGCAUGUGGUUUAAUUCGAUGCAACGCGAAGAACCUUACCUACUCUUGACAUCCAGAGAACUUUCCAGAGAUGGAUUGGUGCCUUCGGGAACUCUGAGACAGGUGCUGCAUGGCUGUCGUCAGCUCGUGUUGUGAAAUGUUGGGUUAAGUCCCGCAACGAGCGCAACCCUUAUCCUUUGUUGCCAGCGGUCCGGCCGGGAACUCAAAGGAGACUGCCAGUGAUAAACUGGAGGAAGGUGGGGAUGACGUCAAGUCAUCAUGGCCCUUACGAGUAGGGCUACACACGUGCUACAAUGGCGCAUACAAAGAGAAGCGAACUCGCGAGAGCAAGCGGACCUCAUAAAGUGCGUCGUAGUCCGGAUUGGAGUCUGCAACUCGACUCCAUGAAGUCGGAAUCGCUAGUAAUCGUAGAUCAGAAUGCUACGGUGAAUACGUUCCCGGGCCUUGUACACACCGCCCGUCACACCAUGGGAGUGGGUUGCAAAAGAAGUAGGUAGCUUAACCUUCGGGAGGGCGCUUACCACUUUGUGAUUCAUGACUGGGGUGAAGUCUACAGGGGGGUGAACGCGAUAAAAGAAG
rnacentral:rRNA from 1 species